rnacentral:rRNA from 1 species
UACGGAGGGUGCAAGCGUUAUCCGGAUUCACUGGGUUUAAAGGGUGUGCAGGCGGGCUAUUAAGUCAGUGGUGAAAUCCCGAGGCUCAACCUCGGAACUGCCAUUGAUACUAUUAGUCUUGAAUUCUGUUGAGGUGGGCGGAAUAUGUCAUGUAGCGGUGAAAUGCUUAGAUAUGACAUAGAACACCGAUUGCGAAGGCAGCUCACUAAGCAGCGAUUGACGCUGAGGCACGAAAGCGUGGGGAUCAAACAGG